ACUCCUACGGGAGGCAGCAGUGGGGAAUAUUGCACAAUGGGCGCAAGCCUGAUGCAGCCAUGCCGCGUGUGUGAAGAAGGCCUUCGGGUUGUAAAGCACUUUCAGUCGUGAGGAAGGCGGUGUAGUUAAUAGCUGCAUCGUUUGACGUUAGCGACAGAAGAAGCACCGGCUAACUCCGUGCCAGCAGCCGCGGUAAUACGGAGGGUGCGAGCGUUAAUCGGAAUUACUGGGCGUAAAGCGCAUGCAGGUGGUUUGUUAAGUCAGAUGUGAAAGCCCGGGGCUCAACCUCGGAAUUGCAUUUGAAACUGGCAGACUAGAGUACUGUAGAGGGGGGUAGAAUUUCAGGUGUAGCGGUGAAAUGCGUAGAGAUCUGAAGGAAUACCGGUGGCGAAGGCGGCCCCCUGGACAGAUACUGACACUCAGAUGCGAAAGCGUGGGGAGCAAACAGGAUUAGAUACCCUGGUAGCACAGAGC
rnacentral:rRNA from 1 species